AAAGCUUCAAAUCAAGCUAUUAACAUUACAUUUGUUAUCAUGUUACAGUCUAUUAUCAGUUUAUUUUCCCAUUAAAAACGAUAGUCUCAUAUAAGUAUUAAAAAAAAUGUAAGCACCCUGUACUGCAAUGAGCAGAAUAAAAAACAUCGUGUUCUGUGUGCAUCCAUUGGUGGCGGGGUCAAGGACAUGAACGCGCCGCUCUUGAUUGGAGCCCAGGACCUCAGCGGCUCCUGCCACGGUACCGACCCAACGAGACCCGGCGUGGGUGUCUCCGGCUCCGGGUUGAGCCGUGUCACCGUCUGCGUGGUUGAGCCGUGGACGCGGUGAUUGAGACGGAGGCUGCCCCGGCGUGAGAGCCGGGCCGAGUCGCACCCUGGGAGCCGUGCCCGCCUCGCCGGAAGCCAGGAGACCGGCAGUCAGGGCGCAAAUUUAAUUAAAAAGCCAAUCCUGGCAGCCAAACGCGAGACCAGCGGAGUUUCCAGGCAAUGAAUUCCAACGGCUCAGUUCACCAAAGCCCAGACGGCCGAGCUAUCGGAGGGGCAGGAACCGAGAGCAGAACGACGACGCGAGGCGGACGAGAGGGAGCAGUGACGGAGCGCAGUUGGCGCAGCUGAGUGAAGGGGCGAGGAGUGAAUACAUUGGGGACGCUGCUGCUGCCGCUGCCACUGCUGCGUAGCGCGUGGAGACACCGUGGUCAUUCGCGAAUUAUAGGGAGCGAGAGAAAGCCUGUUACGCGGAGCGCGCAAGAGCUGCGUGGAGAGACGCGCGCUGGGACUCGUAACCGGGAUGAGACGGAGAGAUGAGCGCGUGGAGUAGGAAGAUCGCCCACGCGGUCAGGAGAAGUGAGUGGGGCUUGGGCAGGACGCGUGCCGGCUGGAAGGGACGACGGGCCAAGAACGAUAACGGCGCGGGGCAGCCAAGGAGCGGGAACGUGUCCGACAGGACGUCCUGCAAGCAGAGAUGGAGCGAUGAUAUCUUCUGUGAAAGCCGAUUGAUGGAGUUUCUUGGCUCGGGGUCAUUCUAAAUAAACUGAACGGAACUGAAGCCAUCCAAAUCCAUCACCUUGGACCGUGGCAGGGAGUGGACGGCACGAACGGCUGUGGUGGCGAGUGGGUGAGGGGCGGUAUCAGCACGUGGUCGGAACUUUAAUCGCGGUCCACGUCCAAAAUCAGAAUCUUCAUCUAAACUGGAGGAAUCGCAUUGAGCUGUGAAGCUCUUAUUCACAGGUCAGAGCCGUCUCCCCUCCCCACCUCCCCGUCACCUUCAGUCGUCCCGAGGGGUUCACGAUGCUCACGUCGCCUGCGGUGGAGAGGGAGAUCCAGCCAAUUUCACGUGGCGGCUGAUAGAGGCGUCAAAUAUCUUCUGGAGCGAGCCCUACAGACUUCACAUCAUCCCCCUCCUCCAUCCACGUUCCCAUGUAAAUGAGAUUUCUCCGAUAUGGAAAACUCAGCGGCUCUCUGUGCCACGUGGGCCAGGUGAGCAUAAUUGGGAUGUUUUUUUUAUUUUCGCGAGCACCGCUGCGACUGCUCUCUCUACGAGGCAUCGCCAUCAUCCGUGGUCAAUCAGCUGCUGGAUGGAGGCCGCCCCGACGAAGUCGCUCUUUCGCGCUUCCACGCGAGAGCCGAUUUCAUCGCUCCAUUUCCUCGCAUGGCUAGCGCCGUAUGUCCGCUCCGUUGUGCAUCGUGGCGUCGGAGUUCAUCUGUUCAGAACCCCGCAGAGCCAUCGGUGGAUAUUCCACAUUCCUGUGGUGGGGGCGAGUCUGUCCAUAAAAUGACGGCUCCCAGCGUGCAAACUGAAACCACAGGUGUGUUGCGUGCGGUGGGGUAAAGUGUGGGGGCUCCCAGUGACGUCGUCACUACACGAUCAGCUCAGAGGGUGCGGAAAUCGGUCAGGUGGGGCCCCGAUAUUUGAUUUGUCUCGCACGGUCCCGCCUUUGCUAUUAUACAGGGUGCUUCCAAUUUGUUUUUUAUACUUCUGAGAAAUUGCAACACCACCACGAGAAAUGUGCCUCCGGGCUCUGGAGAUCACAAGGAGAAGAUUCCAGGCACGUGUUGACAAUGAUGGCGAACAAACGGAAGACUCUGACUGUUUGAAGCUAUGAACAUACAUCUGUUAUCACGUUAGUGUAUUAUCCGUUCUUUUUCCAUUAAAAACGAUA